rnacentral:rRNA from 1 species
CCUACGGGAGGCAGCAGUAAGGAAUAUUGGUCAAUGGGGGCAACCCCGAACCAGCCAUGCCGCGUGCAGGAAGACGGCCCUAUGGGUUGUAAACUGCUUUUGAACUAGAGAAAACCUCGGUACGUGUACCGAGUUGAUAGUAUAGUUAGAAUAAGCAUCGGCUAACUUCGUGCCAGCAGCCGCGGUAAGACGAAGGAUGCAAGCGUUAUCCGGAUUCAUUGGGUUUAAAGGGUGCGUAGGCGGACUGAUAAGUCAGUGGUGAAAUCUCUCAGCUUAACUGAGAAACUGCCAUUGAUACUGUCAGUCUAGAGUACAGAUGAUGUGGGCGGAAUAUGACAUGUAGUGGUGAAAUACUUAGAUAUGUCAUAGAACACCGAUUGCGAAGGCAGCUCACGAAACUGUAACUGACGCUGAGGCACGAAAGUGCGGGGAUCAAACAGGAUUAGAUACCCUGGUAGUCCGCACCGUAAACGAUGAUUACUCGUUGUUGGCAAUAUGACCGUCAGCGACCAAGCGAAAGCGANAAGUAAUCCACCUGGGGAGUACGCCGGCGACGGUGAAACUCAAAGGAUUAGACGG